CCUAGUGGCGAUGGCGGAGAGGUCACACCCGUUCUCAUCCCGAACACGGAAGUUAAGCUCUCCAGCGCCGAUGGUAGUUGGGGCUAACGCCCCUGCAAGAGUAGGACGUUGCUAGGC
rfam:Anoxybacillus sp. B7M1, complete genome.